GCCCGGGUUUGCGGGAACAAAGCAGCGCCCUGCGGAAGGCAGCCCUCGUGAACUCAGAAGUUAGUUUUCGUCUCUGGACCUUUUUAUAAUCGGACUUCAGCCCAUCACUGUCUCGUUUUGUCCUCAGAAACGGCGACAGCAGCCUCUUCCCAAUGUUGAGAGCAAAAAGUGUGAACCCAGAAAUUCCGAGACAAAUCUCAAUUACUUGCCAAGGUUGAGGACGCGCGCGUGACAGCCUCAGGAAGUCCUCACGACAUGUGCCCAAGGUGGUCUGGGCAUAGCUUAGUUUUAUACAUUUUAUGGAGACAUGAGACAUCAAUAAAUGUAUGUAAGAAGUACAUUGGUUCUGUUUGGAAAGGCGGGGCAACUUGAAGCAAAGGCAGGAAGACGUGAAGCAGGAAGGGGGCUUCCAAGAAACAGAAGUGCCCACCCCUCAGUGUGGUGCCCAUUACCCACAGUCUGGAAGAGCUCUGGGAGAUCCUGGAAGCUCCCUUGGGGGUCUGGACCCUCCCGGGAAAGAACCAGGGGCAGAGUUCACAAUCCUGGAGGUCAGCCUCUGAGGUCCAUGUCACCAGAAAACCUGAGUGCUACAGACCACUGUUUGCAAACUCAAAUGACCAUAGGAACUCAGCAAGUCAUAUAAAUGAGCGGGAAAUGCCAGAUGGAAAGGCCUGUUUGGACAGAGACGUGGGUCUAAGAAAUACUUCCCUUUCUUCUUCGCUGUACUUUAAGAUAAACACCAAAAACACUAAAAGCAAGCCAUGAUGAAUGGCACGUGGUGCUUGGUCAGGAGCCCACGGGAGUGGUGGGGAUGGGUGGCCGGGCCACGGUGAAUUGUGAGUUCUGGCUCUGGCUCAGCUCCCAACAACUGUGGUUUUGUCGGAGCCUAGGUCGAGUUGCCAAAUCUUUGGAUUUUUCAAAAGACACCAGAAAACCUGUAUUUGGUUGCAAAAUAUCCUUUUCAAUUUUCACUACUAACUCAUAUCACUUAAAAACACUGCCUGGACUCAGAUCAAUAAAUAUGACAACCGCAGGCCAGAUCCAGUACACAGUCACAGGAUUUUAACUUGGGCAGUAAAAAGACAAUGGAGGUGGUGGGUGCCUGUAGUCCCAGCUACUUGGGAGGCUGAGGAAGGAGAAUUGCUUGAACUCUGGAGGCAGAGGUUGCAGUGAGCUGAGAUUGCGCUAUUGCACUCCAGCCUGGGCAACAAGAGCAAAACCCCAUCACACACACACACACACACACACACAAAGACAAUGGAAGCCAGGCAUGGUGGUAGCUCACGCCUGUAAUCCCAGCACUUGCGGAAGCCGAGACGACAGGAUCGCUUCAGCCAAGGAGUUUGAGACCAGCCUGGACAACAGUGAGAACCUCAUCUCUACGUAAAAUUUAAAAAUUAGCUGGCCAUAGUGCUGCCCGCCUGUAGUCUCAGAUAUUUGGAAGGCUGAUGGGAGAGGAUUCCUUGAGCACUGCAGGUUGAGGCUGCAGUUAGCCCUGUUCACACCACUGCACUCCAGCCUGGGUGACAGAGCAGGAAGCUGUCUCAGAAAUAAAUAAAUAAAUAAAUAAAUAAUAAAUAAAAA